GUUAUGUAACAAAAAGAAAUAGAGUAUCUGUCUAAUAGAGCUCAUGUGAAAAUAGAAGAGAAACAACGCUUAUAUGAUAAAUGUCGAUAAAAAUGUUGGUAUUAUCGAUAUUUAUCAUUUUUAGUUCUGCAGAGAUCCGCAGAUGUCGCAUUUAGUUCCACAGAAGGCCGCAGAUGUCGCAGGACCAUUAGAGUCUAGACCGACCUCGAUUGAGUUCGCCGGUCACUUUAGCAUCCCCUUAAUCAGAUGUUAGACGCGUAAGUGUAUAAACCACGCAUCUCACUCUGUAUAAUACUAUUUGUAUAAUAGUUUCACCAUUUAUAUACCAUGAAUUAAUGGUUUUGUGAAACUUAGUUGUUCUUGUUUUUUGAUUUUUAAUGAUUAUAGUUAAUUUUAAAUUAAUUGUAUAUAUGUAAAUAGACAACAGUUAAGCAUAUAAAUACAUAUAAACUUCUAAUAUAUAAAUAAAUAAUUAGCCAAACAAAUAAUUAUAUAAACCUACAUCUAUAUAUAAUACUUAGAUAACACUACUUGUAAAGUGGUAUCACAAUUUAUAGUCAAUCACGUGGGUAAUGAAAUUUUGUUUAUAUUUGAGAUAACGGUAUAUAGAUAGUUAUCAUAAAGGCGGUGAGAAGUAUACGUCUGUGUUAAUAUACAGUUUGUUAAGAAUAAGGUUAAGGCACAAAUAUUUAGAAGCGUUCGCGUUUGAACAUGUUGGUAAAGCUCUGAGUGAUUAUGAGGUAGUAAUAUAAUUCUCUUUGCAUUUCUUAAAAUAGUUUUGGAUGGAAAUCUCAGAUGUAUUGCUUUGGAUGUUUCUGACUAGUUUGUUAUAAACUAUUAUAUAUGGGACGUUAAUGAUUUGGUAUAUUCUUGCGUUCCAUGACUAGAGUGUGAUGAUAUGUAACGACUUUUAAUGAAAGGAGAGAAUUUUACAACGUUUGGAUGUUUAUCUGGAGACAGGGCGGAUGUCUUGAAUUCCAGUAUAAUAUCUGUAGAUGUAUAUAGGACCAUUAUACCAGUUAUAUUUACCAUGACAGGCCGCUACAAGGUCACAUUCCUUGGGUAAGAAAACAUCCAAUGUCUUUUUUUUUUUAAUAUAUGUUGGAAUGUACUAGUUGAGCAUUUAUUUUGCAAAUUUUGUAGAGAUUAUACUUGCAAGAUUUUUUUUUUUUUUGCAAAGUAUUAGAUAAUUAUUUGAUGAACUCGACAGUGUGCAAAUUUAUUGAGUAUCAUAAAUUUCGUUACUUUGUUAAAUUUAGCUGGAUCUUGUUCCAAGAGUGAAUGAGCUGUUCCUAUAUAAAGUUUCUAUAUAAAGUUUUUGAUUAUAAAUUACUCAUUGCGACUCGCUAAUUUCGUGAAUAGUUUUUGAAAGGCAGACUUAUGAGAUACGAGAAUGGUGUAUAAUGAUCCUGUUCAGAUCAAGAGAAAGUAGUAAGGAAUGUGGUCGUAGUCACACCUUAUUGUGUUCUCUUUUUUUUUUCAUAAGUAACCAAAGUAAAUUAUAGUUAUAGAUUCUUUCUAAUUUGUAAUUAUAUAUGUAUCUUUAUGAUUAUUAUUUUUUUUUUUUAUAGCCAAGAUAAGGUAGUCGAGAAUACUCACUGGCUUCAGGAUUGUCAAGGACCCAAUAUUGUAGCCCUUAGUGGGGUUCCUUUUCCUCUGGUGGAGGAUUCUCGUUUUCCUUGUUUUUUGUGUUGAUAAGGAUGUGUAAGAGACUUCCGGUUUGUCGAGCGCUCAACAGUAUAACCUUUAAUAAAGUUCUUCCUUCUCUUCUGGAAGUGGAUCCUCGUUUCUUUUUGCGGAACUGAAUAUGUAAUUAGUUUUGUUUAUCCCCCGCAUAAUAUUCACAAACUCGGUGCGAUAAUUACAAAUGGCGGCUCAGGCUGCCUCGUGCCGCAUGGCGUGAUAUAGGUGGCCUCACCUUCCGCCAUUAACUAUUUCAGAUUUUCAUUUAUCUCUCUCUAGUAUUCCUCUGCGAGGAGAUAAUGUAUAUAUAAAUGCAACUUCUUAUGCCUCUGAGCCGAGACAAUGUAGGUGAUGAUGGAAUUGUUUAGCUCAGCUCAAGAGGACGAAGUAAUUUGUUCACUGAUAUAUGUAAAUUCACAAAAGAGGGCGAACGACCGUUCGCUUCAACGGUGCCGCACGGAAUCCCAAGCCAAUGAUAAUCACAAAUUUAACUUAGAUCUAGUUUACACCAAACACUUGACACCAUAGAUAUAUAGAUUGCUGAUUGCGUCGAAUUUGUGACCCUAAUUGAAUAUCGCCAUAUUAGAAAGACUUUGCAUACGCAUGUGCAUUUACUCGUAGAAUUGUUUCUUUUUUAUGACAGUUUGAAAAUCAAACUGUCAAAACCAGCGUCGUGAAAUUUAUAUUAAUUGGGUUAUAUAACACAUCAUCCGUAGAAUUAGUUAAUCUCUAGGUUAGCUUAUGGGCGGGUUUUUUAAUUCAUCGAUUGAUUAAUUGUAUUAUGCGCAAAUACAACUUUGUUUUAUAAAAGCCGCAUUGACACAUAAUGCGAUUGAUCAAUCGAUGAAUUAAAAAAUUCGUCCUAUUUAUAAGAGUUCAAUUAAGUUGACGACACGUGCCCGAAGUGAGACAAAAUUAAAAGAUUGUUUACAAAAGUAUUUACAGCUGUUUAUGCAAUAAGUUUUGCUUCUGUAAUUUAAAAUGAGACGGUGCUGCUUUUGUAAUAAUACAAAAAGGCAUGAAUUUACAUCAUCAUAUCACAAGUAAGUAUUGCAUUAUUGUAUUACUUUUAUUUAUAUAUACUUUCUUUUUAAGUUGUUUUCCUUUAGAUUGAUGGAUUAUUGUGUCUUCAUCUCACUUUUGAGAAAUUCCGAUACAGUUUUAUAUAUUAUAUCUAUAUAAAAGUUAUCUUUGUCUUAUCUAUAACAAUCAAUUUAAAUAGCUCAAAAUCUCAAUAUUAUAUCCUUAAACAUAUUGUAGGUUUCCUCUCAACAAUCAGCAACUUCUAAAAUAAUAGCUAAAUAAUUAUCCUGUUAAAAAUUGGAUACUAACCAACUCGACCACUUUAUGCUCUGAUCAUUUCACAAAAGAUUGCUUUCAGGAUGUGUAGUACGAUUGAAACUAAACAGUAUUCCAACGCGUUUUGAUAACCCUUAUCAUUAUUUUAUAUAUUGCAAACGGAAGCAAAUACAUAAAUCAGAAUAUUCUUUUUUCAAGUAAAAUUAUAACAAUUUUUUGUAAUUGUAAAUAUAAAUGAAUGUUUACAAAUUGAAAUAAGAACUUCUCUAGCAUCAAGAUGCAAGGGCAAGAUGCAAAGCAUUGCUAAUUAUUAAAUUAUUUCUAAUUUAAAAAAUAUGUUAUUACUUGUUCAUGUUCAAUUUAUAACUGCGUUCUGACCGGAAAAAUAAUUCGACGCGUAGUUAAAUUUGAAAAAAAGUAUAUAAACAUCACACAAUUAAAAUUUAUAAAAAAUACUAAGAUCCAGUUUGACCGUACAAGGCGUUCUUAUCUCAAUUUGUAAAUAUUACAUUAAUGAAAUUCUCCGAAUAUCUCCAAUCGAAUAUCUCCAAUUAUAAAUGAAUAUAUUUAUUUAUUUUUGUUCAUAUUCUAAACUUUGAUUUCCAUUAGACAAAUCAGAUAUUUUAAAGAAAUGGCUUGAUAAUAUGGGAAUCAAGAAUUGGAUUCCAAACAACAACAAUUAUUUAUGUUCAGAAUAUUUUGAGCAAAAAUGUUUUCGCAAGAUACGAGGAAAAUAUUGAUUAAAAGAUAAUAGCGUUCCAACAAUAUUUAAGAUUGAAUGUUUUAACAAUAUAAAAUCAGUUGUAUCAACAUCACCAGAAAAUGUUCUUCCGUGUGAAAGAGAAUUGAAUCAGAAGAUACAAUUCAACAACAAUGUUAUGUUUGACCCUCCACAACAAGCAUCUUGUAAUGAAUUAAGAGACCUGAUUGAAACACCCUCAUCAGAUAAUUUUCAUUAGUAUUGUUACAAAUUGAAGAGUUCACAAAUUUAUUUUUUUCAGAUCAAACUAUUAGUAAGACUUCUCUGAAAAAAAAUAUACCUAUUUCUGAGGAAUCUUUUAUUGUCACAAAUGGUAAGUAAUAAUGAAUAAGAUAAAAAUUAUUAUUAAAAAAUUUUUUCCAUGCAUGCGCGAAAGUUUUUUUUCAUCUUUUAGAUGAAAAUGUUAAUGGAUUAUCGACAUCUAAUAAUUACAUUGAAAUUAUAAAUCAUACUCUUUUAAGAUAAAUAUCCUCUUUUCAGUAUGUUUUUGUCAGUAAUAAUUUUCAAAAUAUAAUAAUGGCAAGUUUCCAACAAUCUAUUGGCAAUAGACUUUAAACUCAGUUUACAGCAACUUGCUGGCAACUGGCGCGCAACACGUCAGGAAUCCUUAAAAUCUAAACAAUGGGUAGAAAACAAGUAUUGCUGUUAGGUUGCCCUCAGAUUGCAGACAAUGCAAGAAACUUGUCGGCAAUCUGAUGACAACGAUUUUCAGCAAUUUGUGAACAACUGACGUGCAACAUAUUGUGUUUUUAAAUUGUCAACAUGUUAUAAACAACAGGUAAAAAGAUUUUUAAUCCUUUUCAUAUCCCUUCUAUAAAUACCAUAUAGAUCUUGUUACAAAAUCUGUGUCAUCAAGACUUAUGUUCAACAGAUAGAGCAGAUCGAUGAGCGCUUAGUGAGUUAAGAGCAAAACUAUGUUCCAAAACUCAUCAAAAAAAAGUGUUGCAAUCUUUUAGCUCAUGACUGUAUAUACGCACACCGACGGAAUCGGUAUCCCUCCGCGCGCGACACGCGGCUUCUACACAUAUACGCGAAGCGCCCACAUACAUACGUACUAGUCUUCCCCUUCCAUGCUACUAGUGUGGCUGCUAAAAGUCGAAAAUGCAUUGCUGACACUGGGCCAUUUUGAAUUUUCACUGGGUUUUAUGAAACACACAACGACAAAUGAUGUACUUUCAUAAUAGGAGUAAAAAAGUAGGUUAGGCGAUGCAUGCGCAAGUAUGCUUCGCUUUAGUUGGUCGCUUAGGUACUGGCGUUUACGUGCACUUCUCUCAUUCAAUAAUAAUGUACAGUCGUGAGCUAAAAGGUUGCAACACAUUUUCUUCGAUGGUUUUUGGAAUGUAGAUUUGCUCAUCAAACGACGAACGUAAUUAGUUCUUACCUGUGAAUCCAACCAAUUACGUUUACCAAUUGAUGACAUCGAAGAAAAUGUGUUGCAACUUUUUAGCUCACGACUGUACAUCAUUGUUAAUUAAAUGCUGAAAACUUUUCAGCAAUUAUUAUUAUAGUAGAGUUCCUAUUCGGUUGCCGACGUGUUGCUCACAACUUAUGAAUAAAAGUAAUACUCGCAUGUUUCUUAACUUUAUAUUACCAUUCGGUUGCCGACACGUUGCUCACAACUCAUGAAUGAUAAUCGUUGUUCACAUAUUGCUAUCAGAUUGCUAUAAACAUUGGUUGCAACAAUUGUUCUACCGUUGUUUGACAAUAAAACUCAGCAUAUUAAUACUGAAUUAACAAAAACAUUUUUGUUUCAUUAAAUUAUAAGCAACAUAAUAGCAAAUGACGAGCAACUUAAUUUCUGCAAUUAUUUGAUUUAGAUUGAGUAUUCACGUUUGGCUCUCUGGGUAGUAAUGGAGAAUGUCAACCGUUACAUGAAAAAACAAUUAUAAAUUCCCAAUCAGUACAUCAUAAUCAUCAUUAUUAUGUUUCUCCAUCAACACAACAUAAGAAACUUAUAAAAAGUAAAGAAAUAUUUAAAAAAAAGGAACGAAUAAUUAAAAUUAAAAAUCGACAGCUUCGACGUCUUCGAACUAAAAUUAAAAGUUUAAAAGAAGUUAUAACAGAUUUACGAGAAUAUGGUCUCGGAAAAUUGUUUGAGCUGUCUCGAUACAAUAUCGGAUCAGGGAGUUAAAGAAUUUGUAGAACAUGCUAUAAAAAAAUGGUAAGAAAUUGAGCAAACGAAAAUACCUACCAGCUUUGCGUAGUUUUGCACUAACUCUACAUUUUUAUUCACCUCGUGCAUAUAAUUAUAUACGUGAAAAGAUGAACAUGGCUUUGCCUAUACAAAGUGUAUUGAGAUCGUGGUACAAUUCCAUCGAUGGAGAACCAGGGUUUACUUCGGAAAGCUUUAUAUCAUUAAAAUAUAAAGUGGAAAAGGCAAAUUUAGAAAA